rnacentral:misc_RNA from 1 species
AUGAACGCAAGUGAAUUCCGAAGGAGAGGGAAGGAGAUGGUGGAUUACAUGGCCAACUACAUGGAAGGCAUUGAGGGACGCCAGGUCUACCCUGACGUGGAGCCCGGGUACCUGCGGCCGCUGAUCCCUGCCGCUGCCCCUCAGGAGCCAGACACGUUUGAGGACAUCAUCAACGACGUUGAGAAGAUAAUCAUGCCUGGGGUGACGCACUGGCACAGCCCCUACUUCUUCGCCUACUUCCCCACUGCCAGCUCGUACCCGGCCAUGCUUGCGGACAUGCUGUGCGGGGCCAUUGGCUGCAUCGGCUUCUCCUGGGCGGCAAGCCCAGCAUGCACAGAGCUGGAGACUGUGAUGAUGGACUGGCUCGGGAAGAUGCUGGAACUACCAAAGGCAUUUUUGAAUGAGAAAGCUGGAGAAGGGGGAGGAGUGAUCCAGAUGGUUGCCACCCUGGGGACCACAACAUGCUGCUCCUUUGACAAUCUCUUAGAAGUCGGUCCUAUCUGGUGAAAAAGAGAACAGACUUAACGGGAGCCUUUAGACUGGACCCCACUUACCUGAAGCACAGCCAUCAGGAUUCAGGGCUUAUCACUGACUACCGGCAUUGGCAGAUACCACUGGGCAGAAGAUUUCGCUCUUUGAAAAUGUGGUUUGUAUUUAGGAUGUAUGGAGUCAAAGGACUGCAGGCUUAUAUCCGCAAGCAUGUCCAGCUGUCCCAUGAGUUUGAGUCACUGGUGCGCCAGGAUCCCCGCUUUGAAAUCUGUGUGGAAGUCAUUCUGGGGCUUGUCUGCUUUCGGCUAAAGGGUUCCAACAAAGUGAAUGAAGCUCUUCUGCAAAGAAUAAACAGUGCCAAAAAAAUCCACUUGGUUCCAUGUCACCUCAGGGACAAGUUUGUCCUGCGCUUUGCCAUCUGUUCUCGCACGGUGGAAUCUGCCCAUGUGCAGCGGGCCUGGGAACACAUCAAAGAGCUGGCGGCCGACGUGCUGCGAGCAGAGAGGGAGUAGGAGUGAAGCCAGCUGCAGGAAUCAAAAAUUGAAGAGAGAUAUAUCUGAAAACUGGAAUAAGAAGCAAAUAAAUAUCAUCCUGCCUUCAUGGAACUCAGCUGUCUGUGGCUUCCCAUGUCUUUCUCCAAAGUUAUCCAGAGGGUUGUGAUUUUGUCUGCUUAGUAUCUCAUCAACAAAGAAAUAUUAUUUGCUAAUUAAAAAGUUAAUCUUCAUGGCCAUAGCUUUUAUUCAUUAGCUGUGAUUUUUGUUGAUUAAAACAUUAUAGAUUUUCAUGUUCUUGCAGUCAUCAGAAGUGGUAGGAAAGCCUCACUGAUAUAUUUUCCAGGGCAAUCAAUGUUCACGCAACUUGAAAUUAUAUCUGUGGUCUUCAAAUUGUCUUUUGUCAUGUGGCUAAAUGCCUAAUAAACAAUUCAAGUGAAAUACUAA